rnacentral:ribozyme from 2 species
AUCAUAACUCCGCCUGUAGCACCUCCGGGGGCUACUGCCGGUCCCAAGCCCGGAUAAAGGAGAAGGGUUGGG